GAGCGGGUCGGGGCAGGGCUGGGCUGUCGGGGCCGGGCCGGGCGGGGCCGCGCGGGAGGAGUAAGAAGACAGAGGCAGCUCGGCGCCAGCCCGACCGAGCGUUGGUCGUGCUCACCAAGUCGGAGUAUGGCCCAAUGUCAGGGCCGGUCCUGACGGUGGGCAAAGGUUUGAGACCAUUUUUCAAUCUUCGUGGAUUUCUGCAGGCAUCAAGUUUCCGAAAAUAUAGUACUCUUGCAAAUAAUCUUCCUAAUCAAUUACUUCACCAGGGAAUGAUGGCAGUCUUAAAGCCUGUUUUGGAUUUUGUCCACCAUUGCUUGGUAUGAUUUCUACUGGUUAGUCUGAAAUAUAUUGAUAUAAUUGGCAAAGCAGAUACGGCGAACAUGAGAAGUGCUCUCAGAUAAUUAUGAAGUGCCUCGUGUAUUUGUUUGUUUGAAUGCAUUAUGUUUUUCCCAUCAGUGAGGCCAAAACCUGAAAUUUAAAAACUGUGAUUCCCCCAAAGUUGUGUCACGUACGGUCAAAUGGCUGGCUGUAUAUAAAGGAGUCCUCUUCUCUCUCUGUCUAAAGGAAUUGUUUGGAGAGUUUCCCUACAGAAUCUGUCACAUAGAGAAACUGUUGCUUGGGAACCUGAUAAAAAGACAUAUGUUAAGCAGUAGCGCUUUCCAUGGUGUUUGUUUAUAGAAAUAUAUUUAUUACUUUAAGACCAAAAUUAGACGAUAGCAAAUAAGCCUAUGUUUCUCUUUUUCUUAGUGUUAGAUUUCGGGAAUAAUAAUGUUUAAUGUUCUAGAAAAUAGCAUUUACUUACAGGGUAUGCAUUUCCGAAAUAAAUUCCGAUUGGUGAAAACAGCAGAGGACUGCCUGGAAUUCCUAAGGGACCUGGACCCAGGCAUUCUAAUUAAUUGUAUUCCAAAUAACCGAAAUGGAAACACAGUAUUUAAUGCAGUAGUUAAUAACAACAUUGUAUCCUUUAAGGAUUCUUAUUAACUCUAACGCUUUUUUUUUUUUUUUUUUUUUUGGUAACUCUUCCGCUUUUGUGAUAGACACGCAGAGACACAUUAUUAUUUUCUUUGGUUUUCUGUGGAGGGCUCUGCUGGGCCUUCCUGCCUGUAACAGCAGCUGGCCCCGCUGCAGGACGUUCAUGUUGGGCUGUCGUAGAAAACAUGGGUAACAGGUGGCACAGAAAAUUUUUUACUUCACACGAGAAGGAUGGUGAAGUUAAAGAAUCAGUUGACCUUGAAAGUUUCCCACGGGAAAGGAAGCGCCUGGGAACCUGCUGGGUGACCCCUCACCUGAGGACAUUGGAGCUCAUGAUCAUGAAGGUCAUCGGUGAUGGUCUUAACCCUUCCUGUGUGGAUUGUCCUGAAGUCAAAAGACCGACUUUUCUUUGUUAUAAGUGCCUCCAAAUAUAUUAAAUUACCAUUUAUCAAGUACCACAAUU